UACGUAGGGGCCGAGCGUUGUCCGGAGUUAUUGGGCGUAAAGCGCGCGCAGGCGGCCUCGCGCGCCCGACGUGAAAGCCCCCGGCUUAACCGGGGAGGGUCGUUGGGGACGGCGGGGCUUGAGGGCGGGAGAGGGUGGUGGAAUUCCCGGUGUAGUGGUGAAAUGCGCAGAUAUCGGGAGGAACACCAAUUGCGAAGGCAGCUCGCUGGGACGUCACUGACGCUGAGACGCGAAAGCGUGGGGAGCAAACAGG
rnacentral:rRNA from 1 species